rnacentral:misc_RNA from 1 species
GACAGGUUGGUGGCCCUGGGUAACUUGACUCACAGCUGAGGGAGAUAAACAAAGCCUCAGGUACGGUCUGUUCCAGCUGAGGUGAAGAUGAACCUCCAGACCUUUAUAUUUUUUGUCCUGUUAUCCUACACACACGCCAAAUUUAGCUUCACUGAUCCGUUUGAGAGUUGUGAGACAAACGCUUUUCCACCCAAACAGAGUGAUGCUGCCCCUCGCUACAUCAUCAACCUUGAUCUCCCGCCUCAAGAAAGAUGGACUAAACUGGUGACAGAGAAGAAGAAUGAUGUGUUGGCCCUCAUAGGUGAUAUUCGAAAUCUGACCCUGUCACUGGUUGGUGAGAAAGUCUUCAAAGUCAUCAUUGAUAAUCUGGACAAGAUUGCCACAACUCUGCCUUAUCCUUUCAAUGAGGAAAUUAUAGGGAUUUCUAAGGCUUCAGGACUUAAUAUAUCGGAAGCUACACUCUACAACAUUUUCUACGAAGUGUUUACAUUCUGUACCUCCAUCGUUGCUCAGGAUACAUCAGGACACCUCUACCACGGCCGCAACCUUGACUUUGGACUGUUUAUGGGUUGGAAUCCAAAAACACACACCUGGACAAUUGCAGAGUUACUGAAGCCCUUGGUGGUGCAGCUGGAGUGGCAGAAGGGGGGAAAGACGGUGUAUGAGUCAGUCAAUUACGUUGGAUAUGUUGGCAUUAUUACAGCUGUCAAAAAAGGCCUCUUCACAUUUAGCCUGGAUGAACGUUUUGGUCUCAAUGGUGGUUUUGUUGGUCUGUUAGAGUGGAUCAUCUUUAAAGAUUAUAAACAGAAGUGGGUAUCGUUCCUUACUCGUGAAGUCAUGGAAGAAGCCAAGACUUACAAAGAAGCCAAAUUCAUGCUCUCUCACACACGACUACUGGCUCCUGUCUAUUUCAUCCUUGGUGGAGUUAAGUCUGGGGAGGGUUCAAUCAUCACUCGGUGGCGGGACAAUUUCCAUACCGACGACCUUCUGGAUCGAAUGUCUGGCUCGGGGUCCUGGUUCCUCGUUGAAACAAACUACGACCAGUGGAAGACGCCGCCUUUUUUUGAUGACCGCAGAACUCCUGCCGUACAUUGCCUGAACAAAGGAGGACAGAAAAAUGCUUCACCAAAAUUGUUAUACAAUGUUCUUUCAACAAGGCCAGUGCUUAACAAGCUGACAACUUACACAAGCUUGAUGGAUGUAAACCGGGGAACUUUAGGUGCUUGGCUUCGUAAAUGUGAAGAUCCGUGUUGGCCUUGGUAGAGCACCGCCUGUGGAAAUAGACCAUCCUUCAGUUGUGUUUUUGAUCACUAGCAAACAAGAUUCAUUUCUCCGAGUAUCGAUAAAUCCUCGAUAAUUUUGUUUAGUGGACACGAGCGAAGUGGGGCCUUAAAGAUGACUGAUUUGACUUCACUGAACGAUGCUGAAUUAUCCCUUGGAACCUCAUAACAUUGUUGCUCAGAAUAUGCCAUUGGUAGGUAAUGAACCGAGAACUCCAUUAAUUGAGUUGAUCAAUUUAUUUGGUGUUUGUGCUCCUUAUAUUGGUGAGUGUGCAAGGGUUUUACAGUCCUUCCCUUCAGAUAGGAAUUAAACAUUGGUCCCUUUACUUGUGAGGCUGACAAAGAAGUCUUCAAAAUGUCAAUAAAUGUCACGGAUUAGAUAAGGAAGGUAACGGUAUUCACAAUAUAGUCUUAAGUCUAAUGAGGUUCCUUGGAUAUUUAACUCAAUGUCUUUUUUUUUUAUUCUUUUUUUUCCAGAUGAUUUAAGGAUGACAAGAUCAGUAUUGUUAUGAAGGUAAUCCUCUUUAUUUGCUAUUUUAUAAAACUUUGUAGAGGAAUGCUAGUAAAUACAGUACUGACAUAAACCCCCUUGAGGGAAUAAAGAAAAUAUGUUCUGUUUCUAAGUAUGGAAUGAGUGAUUACAUUACCCACUCAUGCAUACACACAUACAUACAUGAAGGAAUGAUUGCAUUAUCCACUCAUACUUACAUACAUACAUGAAGGAAAGGCAGGGAUUAUCGUAGAGGCUAUUCAUUCAGAUUAUAGAGGACACCCAGCAUAGAUCAUCACCUGUUUUGUUGUAAGGAGUAGACAUGUGCCUAUAAUUAGCAAGUGAAAUAGACUGUGUAGGUACUAGAUAUUGGUAGAUCCUUUAAGAUAUGGAGACAGGACGGCAAGAGAAGGAAUCGUUGAACAGAUGAAGAAAUAGGGAGAGGUGUGUGUCAGCCUAUUCCAUCAAGAUUAUGAAUAAUGUUAUCUUACUGUAUGUUGGGUGACCUUGCACAACUCCUAAGCAGUGUAUUUCCUUUACAUCACACGCUUGUCGAGAGAUUACAGAGGUGACUUAUGCUUGACUGUUUAAGCUGAAUUGUGAUUUGUCUUUCCCUCCUGCCAUUCACCUUUACAUUAUACACAAUCUUUACCUUUUACUUCCCAUUCUCUACUUAUAUACUUGUAAUAUUUUCAGUUAUUCUAUUGUUUUCUAGUCAACUAAAUACCCUCUUAAAUCAUAUAUCAAAUGUAUAUGUAUGAGUAUUUAUGUGUAUGAAAUCUAAUCAAACAAACUAAGUCAACAAGUUUAAUAGUUAGUUCAGUAGAGGCUGGUAUACCUAGAAAUAUUUUUCAAGGAUUAUGUUAGUUUUAGUAAUAUGAGUUACUACUGUGUUGGACAAACUUACUCUAAUGCUAUGUUAUUACUGGGAAAAAGGGGAUUUUUUUUUUUUAAACCAACCACCAUGAACCAACCUGAUGUCCGGGCUGGUUCAUAUUGCUCUGACCUUGGUUAGUCUCAGAACUGAUCUUUAUUAUUUAAUGUUUUAGAUUGCCUGUAGGUUGUUUCAUUUGUUUAACAAUUUACACUCCAUAAGACUUCUUGAUCCACAUCCUCAUUGGGUCUUCUAUCCAAACAAAUGGCAAAAAAACCCAAAUACUGUAAAUGAGUAAUAUUAUAUUGCUGCUAUAGAUGGAAAAAUGAAGACUACUGCACCUGAUCCUUUAAUAAUGAUAUAUAAGGACUUGGAUUCUUGUAUUAUCAUGUCACUUAUACUCUGAGUUUACCAAUACCUGUAUUUGUACUCAUUUCAGUUAGUGUCUCUCUUCAAGUGUUUUCUCAAAUGAUAUGAAUAUCAAUUGUUAUUAGAUAUGAUGCUCAUUUUUUAUUAUUAUUAUUACAGAUUAUAGUUGUAUAUGUUAACUCCAUGACACUCCCAAUUUACUCUCAGGUUAGGAAAUACUGUACCUGUACGAGCCAUGACACACCUAAGGGUCUGAAUUUUCUUGCCAUUCUUUUUAUUUACCUGAUGGGGUUUACUUUAAGAUGUCAUGAACCCCUGUUGUUUGAACCUGUGAUAUGAGGCAUUAUUAUUACAUACCAUGAACCCUUUUAUGAGGUUUAGUUUUCCAUGUUAACUUUCUUAGGGUCUUUAUGGUAUUUUAAAAAGUGAUCAAGCUUGAGGUAGCAGCGCCGUGAUCAAGCUUGAGGUAGCAGUGCCGUUAUCAAGCUUGAGGUAGCAGUGCCAUGUUACAAAUUUUAUGGGAUUUUUCUAUUUUUUUUUUAGCUAGUUUGUACACUUGGUUAGUGUUGCUAGACAAGCUAACCCUGACAUGACCCAACCUAACUUAACUUAACACAACCUAACUUAACCUAACACAACCUAACUUAACCUAACACAACCUAACUUAACCUAACACAACCUUAUCAUGUUUUUAUACAUUUCCAGGGCAUUAUUAUUAUCUUAACUCCAUUAGUAACUAUUAUACAUUCCUGUUGGGCAUGUUUGAAGCUGCACUGUAUUCUCAAGAUAUAGACAUUGAAGCACCCGUACUCUCCGUACUCUCACAUGAAUAAUAGAGGAAGAUGUAAGUGAUAUCUCCGUUAGCUGGAACUAUUGGUGCAGAACACUUCCGGGAAUGAGAGAUUUCCGGGUAACAAGACGACUCUCAAAGCUGGAAAAAAUCCCUCGUCCCCGGAAUUUUCAAGGUAACGGAAAAAUAGUCUCGGAAGUUCCUGAAUGAUGCAUUAUUUCAUCUCUCAAAGCCGUAAAAAAAAUCCCCCAUCCUCGGAAUUUUCUGAGUACGUACUGGGAAAAUUUUUUCAGAAUUUUCCAGAAAAUUUAAAUUCCAGCCAUCGGAGAGUUCCGGGUUUGAGGGAUUCCGGCUAACAGAGAUAUUACUACUACUGUAUAUUAUUUGUAUUACAACUGUAGGAUGUGAGUAGGGGUCCUUUCUGGGUGUAGGACAUGAGCAGGGGUCCUUUCUGGGUGUAGGACGUGAGCAGGGGUCCUUUCUUGGCAUUUUGUAAACACAGCUCUCCUGCCAGUUCUGUCUCUGUCAUUGAGGUGGUUCUCAGACAUUAACUAUCACCAGACAAUUCAUCACUGGUUUAGUGUAAACUUAACCUAACCUUACCUAAACCAUGGAUUCAUCGCCCCCAAGGCAUUAUCUAAAUUGAAUAAAUAUAACACGGUAUUCAAUAGACCAUUGACGAAUUGUCUGAUGACUAAAUGUCCGUCCAGCCAUUGACGUUGUUGUGUGCCUUGAUCCAUCCUACACAAAAAUUUAGCAAAGUGGUGAAGAUAAUAGAUUGUGCAAUUUGAAGUGGCAUUGAAUUUUUUUUUGCCAUAAUGUACAAUAGUAAAAAGUAGUACAUAAUAUCUUGCCAUAGUGUAAUUUAAAAUAUCAAUGGUGUAAUUUAGGAUGACAACCAUACUAUAAUUUAAAAUGUCACUGAAUCUUAUGUGACCAACUGCUUUAUAUCCAUGACACAGCUAAGAUUUCCAACCCACAGUCAUUACAUUAUAAAGCUGUAACAGAGAAGCAAAUGUUCUUGCAUAUACUCUACAACUUCUUUUACCCAUGAUAUAUUGUAUAAAGGUCAUAAUGAUUUGUGUCUAUAUAUUAUUAUUGGACUCGCCUAAUUUAAUAGCAUCAGCUAGGUAGUAUAUUAAAUAUUUUGUUUCUUCUUGUCCUUUGUGAAAAUUCAGUGAUUGUUUGUUAGGAUCUUUCACUGGAUGCACAGUUUUGUUUUUUAUUCGAGAAGCUUAAAUGAUUGAUAUAUGUAGUGUAUAAAUUUAAUAUGAGAGCCCUUGAUGAUUAUUACCUGUAAGGACGUGUAGUAAACAAGAACAUAAAAAUCAUUAGCAAUAAAAUCUGAUCAUAUCAUUGCUAGGACCAUAGAUGUUCUUCGCUGUAUUAAGACUUUAUUUUGACUAACUUUUAUGUUCCUGUUUACUGCACGCCCUUAAGGAUAGUAAUCAUUAAGGGUUCUCAAGUUAAAAACAAGUCCCCUGUAUUUUAAUACUGUAGUGUAUGGUUUGCUAGCAUUUUAACAUAUAUUAAGAGAUCUUUCUUUUAUGAGGAAUAUAUCUGUACAGCACUGCUCACCAUGCUAAUUGUGUGGGGACAACUGUAGCUAUAACUCAAUAAGCUGUAGAGAUGAACUGUAUACAUGUAACUUUAAUUAAUACUAUAAGAAUUUGUAAUUCCUUCUUCCUACUUAUUGAUUUAUCUUAAGAAAAAUAAAUAUAUCUAUAUCCA